GGGUGCAUUUGAGUGAAAUAAAACAAGCAUGCCGCCCUAAAAUAUCCUCUAUAAAAAGAUCUUCUUCCAAUCAUUAGGGAACAGAAAAAGGGUGAAAAAAUAGAAACGGCUUAAACCAGCUCUUUUCCAAAAAGAUUAUGAAGAAAACUUUCGAGUUUCUUGCUAUUUUGGGGUCUUGCUGGGAAUUUUUCAGAGGUUGGAACAAGGCAUUGGGUUUUGGUUUCACGGCUGGUUGUUAAGCUAAGCUACUGUAAAUUUCAUUGUUUCUAUAAACUGAUUUUCCCCCUUUCUUCUAGGUAUUUUUCUCUGAACUUUGUAUGCUUUAGUUUGAGCUUGGUUUUGAAUGAAAGGAUGAUUUCCUCGAACAUUGAGUAUGAAUGAAGUUAAAUUGUGCAUCCUUGUAAUGAUUUUGGGACUCCAGCCUAUUUUAAUGUUUUAAAUCUGUUUUAUUUUUUGCAUUCUGUUAUUUUUGGUUAACUUGUGUAAUGUUUGAAGUAUGGGGAUGUUGAAAAUGGUCUAGGGACAUCUCCAGUCAAAGGAAACAUGCUACAUAUGUUGCCUUCUUCUCUUCCCUUUCUUUUCUUUUUUCAGAAAACUUCAUGUUAGCCAUGAAUAGCAUAAAGGCAUCAAUUACUAAAAAAUAUUUUUAAUAUUUUUAAGGUUGAAAAUGUUGUUCAAGGUCAAGUAGAUUUAGUUGUAGGAUGCAUACGAGUUCUAUCAUAUUCUUCUUUAUUUGGAGCUUUGUGAAUGGGUGUUGAGUUGUUUAUUAUUGCUUAUUGGCUGAAGCUUGCAAAUCUGACCACUAAUUGGCUAGAUUGGUAAGCUCUAAUGCUAAAAAAAGGGGUUGGAAGUCGUUGAAAAGGUUUGGAGCUGAAGAUUAAAUCAAACAGUAUAAUUCAUUACGGCAAAUGACUUUGUGUACAUUGGAAUGCUUUAAUUAUCAAGAGUUGUAUUUGAAAAAAUGGCCAAAUUUGUAAAUGUCAGACUCUAGUUGAUUUUUUUUGAAGUUUUAAGUGUCAAUGAUUUUCUGUUCUGUUAUUUACUAUCCUAGAUAAUUACUACAAAUCUGAUCAUUUGUAUUAAGAAGCUUUGAUUCAAUUGUAUUGGGCUUAGUUGAGGUCAAUCAUCAGCCCAAUAAAGAAUUCUAGCAAUUGUUGAGGGCCUAAUCCUUCUUUUAGAAAUGGAAUUGUAUCUCUGGCCCAUAUGCUCAUAAUUAAGAUGUCUGACUCUCUUAUUUGCUAAAUUCGCGCACUUGGUUUCAAAGCUAAUCGUAUUUAGUUUUCUUUAAGUUCUGAUCAAUUAACUUGAGUAUGACCAAUUAUAAUGCUUCUCUCAAUGUUCAAAAACAAAGACGUUCACCCCACUAUUAAUCUUAUUAUUAAUCUCACAAUUUGGACCCUCGCCUGUAAUUUUGAAUUGCAAAUUAGUAGUUGAAUUUUUGGGAACAUGUAUAGUCUGUCUUUAGGCGUGAAUUUGAUGAAUGUUUCUUACCAAUGAAUUACUAGCAAUUGGAUACUUUUUUUUAUAAAAAAAAUAAUUUGAGGUGAGCCAUUUGCAAUCAAACUCCAUAAUCCAUGGCCCUCAAGCUAAUACCUUUUAGUACAGAAAACCCCUUUGAAUGUUCCGUAGUUUUGCUUUAGGCACGCAAUUAAAUUAUUACAACUACGGGUACGGCUCCCGUAACGUGUUUGUGAUAAUUAGUUUUAAAUUAGAUUGAAAUAGGAGCACCUUAGCUUGCCUUUAAAAUGCAUAACCCUUUUCUUAAAAUAAUUUAAGGUGUGCCAUGCUUAAAGCUUAUAAUACAUUGCCCUCACAAAAUUAGAUCAAGAGCUAAUCCUUUUAGAAAAUAAGUCAAGGUGCGCCAUACGCAAAUAAAAUCCAUAACCUAUGGCCCUCACAUAAAUAAAAUUAGUAUAGAAAAUGCCUCGAACUUUCGUAGUUUGCUUUAGGCGCGUUAAUUAAAUAAUUGUCAUAGCUACGGGUACGGUUCCCGUGACGUAGUUGUGAUGCUUAAUUACUAAAAUUCAGGGGUACAUUUAUGUGACCCGGCCAUAAUUUAAUAUUUAAAAAUUAAAUAUGUUAUUGAUUGUGGGUACGGUUCUCGUGACAUGAUUCGCAAUAUGUAACAAUAAUUAAUUAAAAGCGUUUUAAAAAGUUAAAAAUGAAUAAUAGGUUUAAAACAAGUAGUAAAUCAGAUAAUAGGCCAAUUAUUGAUAGUUUAAGCGACCGUGCUAGAACCACGGAACCCGUAAAUUCCUAACACCUUCUCCCGGGUUAACAGAAUUCUUUAUCUAGAAUUUUUGGUUCGCAGACUUAUAAAGUAAAGUCGAAAUUUCCUCGAUUUGGGAUUUUAAAAUAAAUCGGUGACUUGGGACACCAAAUAAACUAUUCCAAGUGGCGACUCUGAUAAAAUAAAUUAAAUAAUCCCAUUUCGAUUUAUGUCACUUUAAUUGGAAAAACUCCCUUAUAUACUCAUCGAGUGGUAAAAAAGGAGGUGUGACACACGACAUGACAUUCAUACGCAUAUGCAUGUACUAUAAAUAUUUCAUGAUUUACGUUAUUUAGACUUACAAGUGAAGUCAUUUACUAUAUAUUUCCUCCAUGACUGCUAUGUACUUAUUUAUAUGCCCUACAUACUCAGUACAUUAUUCGUACUAACGUCCUUUUUGCUUGAGUCAUUUACUCAGUACUUAUUUAUAUGUCUUACAUGCCCGUAGGUCCUGAUAGAUAGGUUGAGAGCUCUCCAAAUAGGCUAUCAACUCAGUAAAAGAUGUUGGUGCGCUCCAUUUGCUUCGGAGUUGCUUGUUUGGUUAGUAUGAGUUAGAUG
rnacentral:lncRNA from 1 species